AUUGAACGCUGGCGGCAGGCCUAACACAUGCAAGUCGAGCGGAUGAAGGGAGCUUGCUCCUGGAUUCAGCGGCGGACGGGUGAGGAAUGCCUAGGAAUCUGCCUGGUAGUGGGGGAUAACGUCCGGAAACGGGCGCUAAUACCGCAUACGUCCUGAGGGAGAAAGUGGGGGAUCUUCGGACCUCACGCUAUCAGAUGAGCCUAGGUCGGAUUAGCUAGUUGGUGGGGUAAAGGCCUACCAAGGCGACGAUCCGUAACUGGUCUGAGAGGAUGAUCAGUCACACUGGAACUGAGACACGGUCCAGACUCCUACGGGAGGCAGCAGUGGGGAAUAUUGGACAAAGGGCGAAAGCCUGAUCCAGCCAUGCCGCGUGUGUGAAGAAGGUCUUCGGAUUGUAAAGCACUUUAAGUUGGGAGGAAGGGCAGUAAGUUAAUACCUUGCUGUUUUGACGUUACCAACAGAAUAAGCACCGGCUAACUUCGUG
rnacentral:rRNA from 1 species